rnacentral:tRNA from 1 species
GGAGAGGUGGCCGAGCGGUCGAAGGCAGUGGUCUUGAAAACCACCGAGCGAAAGCUCCGAGGGUUCGAAUCCCUCCCUCUCCU